rnacentral:rRNA from 1 species
GACGAACGCUGGCGGCGUGCUUAACACAUGCAAGUCGAACGGAAAGGCCCUGCUUUUGUGGGGUGCUCGAGUGGAGAACGGGUGUGUAACACGUGAGUAACCUGCCCUUGACUUUGGGAUAACUUCAGGAAACUGGGGAUAAUACCGGAUAGGAGCUCCUGCUGCAUGGUGGGGGUUGGAAAGUUUCGGCGGUUGGGGAUGGACUCGCGGCUUAUCAGCUUGUUGGUGGGGUAGUGGCUUACCAAGGCUUUGACGGGUAGCCGGCCUGAGAGGGUGACCGGCCACAUUGGGACUGAGAUACGGCCCAAACUCCAACGGGAGGCAGCGGGGGGGAUUAUUGCACAAUGGGCGGAAGCCGGAUGCAGCAACGCCGCGUGCGGGAGGACGGCCUUCGGGUUGUAAACCGCUUUCGCCUGUGACGAAGCGUGAGUGACGGUAAUGGGUAAAGAAGCACCGGCUAACUACGUG